AUGAUUGAAUAGAUUGGUUUCUGAGGCUUGCUAUUUUCUAAUAGCUGCUUCGUAAUACAUUAGCAACCCUAGUUGAUCUUGGAUUGACUCAGUGUAAUAGACUAUUCACUGAGGACAAGAUUAGAGUGGAAGCUAUAAUCAUGCUACAGUCAACUUUUGAAUUAGACCUCAAAUCAGAUAGGAUUACCCGCUGAACUUAA
rnacentral:misc_RNA from 1 species